rnacentral:rRNA from 1 species
GACAGCAGUAGCCGCGGUAAUACGUAGGUGGCGAGCGUUGUCCGGAAUUAUUGGGCGUAAAGGGAGCGCAGGCGGACAUAUAAGUCCAUCUUAAAAGUGCGGGGCUCAACCCCGUGAGGGGAUGGAAACUGUAUGCCUUGAGUGCAGGAGAGGAAAGCGGAAUUCCCAGUGUAGCGGUGAAAUGCGUAGAUAUUGGGAGGAACACCAGUGGCGAAGGCGGCUUUCUGGACUGCAACUGACGCUGAGGCUCGAAAGCCAGGGGAGCGAACGGGAUUAGAUACCCCAGUAGUCCCUGUCUCUUAUACA